CACCAACGGAACCCAAAUCUGCAAAGACCGCAAAUAUUUCUCACCUCCUUGAGGGAUACUCACUGCUCAAAGAUUUCAAUUUAGUUUUUGUUCAUUUCAUUAAGUAGUUAGUCGCCCGAUGUUAUUGCUAUGCAGCCAGGAGUACAAGUAACGUUAGAUUAUUAAACUAUAUUUAUGGAGCCUACCUUAUGCAACUGAUGACCUAGAAAUGGCUGGCUAGCUGGAACCGACUCGCAAUGGAAAUUGCAUUCACGUUGACGUGGUUAAGAAAGCCCUUGGAUUCUGCUCCCUGUCCAGGCCCCAAAACCCUGAAUGAACCGCAGAGCAAAAACUCCGGCGUUAGCAGAGACCAAAACACGACAGCCACGAAUCAUCAGCUGCGGUACGGGUUGGAAUGGAAACAGCGACACCCCCGGUAGCUGUCACUCACAUCUG